rnacentral:rRNA from 1 species
GACGUAGGGCGCGAGCGUUGUCCGGAUUUAUUGGGCGUAAAGAGCUCGUAGGCGGCUUGUCGCGUCGACUGUGAAAACCCGCGGCUCAACUGUGGGCUUGCAGUCGAUACGGGCAGGCUGGAGUUCGGUAGGGGAGACGUGGAAUUCCUGGUGUAGCGGUGAAAUGCGCAGAUAGUCGGGAGGAACACCAAUUGCGAAGGCAGCUCGCUGGGACGUAACUGACGCUGAGACGGCGAAAGCGUGGGAGCAACAGG